UGAAACACGGACCAAGGAGUCUAACAUACGCGCGAGGCAAUAGGUGGAAAACCAUAGCCGCAAUAAAAGUGAAGACUUAGUUACUAAGUUCGAGGUACGAUCCUAGAAUCUAACGAUAUCUAGGCGCAGUACCGUCUCGUCCCUAAGACACGUUCUAAGGGCGAAGAUAGAGUGCGUACGUUGGGACCCGAAAGAUGGUGAACUAUGCCUGAGCAGAGCGAAGCCAGAGGAAACUCUGGUGGAGGUUCGUAGCGGUUCUGACGUGCAAAUCGAUCGUCAGACUUGGGUAUAGGGGCGAAAGACUAAUCGAACCAUCUAGUAGCUGGUUCCCCCUGAAGUUUCCCUCAGGAUAGCUGAUACUCGGGAGACGAAGUUUUAUCCGGUAAAGCGAAUGAUUAGAGGCAUUGGGGACGAAAUGACCUCAACCUAUUCUCAAACUUUAAAUGGGUAAGAAGUCGAGCUUGCUCGACCGAAGCUCGACCCAUAGAGAAUUCGAGUAUCAAGUGGGCCAUUUUUGGUAAGCA
rnacentral:rRNA from 1 species